AUGGCGGUGCCAUCAGCGGGCUCCAGGGUUAAGGCCCGGGAAAGGGCAGGAAUCCUCCCCGGCUGCCGGGAGGGAUGCAGGGGGAGAGGGGAGAGGGUCAGGCGGGGAUCCGGUUACUCGGCCGGAUCCCUUUCAGGGGGAAUAAAGCGGGCAGUGUGCUGCGAGGGGAGCCGGCAGCACCGGCCAGAUCAACCGGGGAACAAUGAUAAACCCUCGGGGACAGCGGGGCUGGGGAGGAGCUGGCGCCGGGCCGGGGUCCUCGGUGGGACGGGCUCACAAUCAGGGGCACCUCUGGGUGAUGGGGGGGACACACACGGGGCAGGGCAGGGCACGGGUGCCAUCGGGGACCACUCCGGUGCCACCAUCUCUCUCUCUCUGUCCCCAGCGCUCAAGAAGUCGUUUGAGGCAGAAGAUGGGGACGAGGCCCCCGGCUCCUUGCUGUCCCCAGGCGAGAGCCACCAGCCCCUGCAGCCCGGCCACCCGCCCCGCCUGGGCCCCGUGCCCAGCCCCGUGCUGCGGACCCGCCUCGGCUCCGGCCCGGCCACCGGCAGAGCCAACGGCACCGGUGGCACCGGCAUCGCCCGCGCCGCCUCCUUCCCGAGCCGCCAGGCCUCGGCCGCGGGCCCGGGCAGCGACGGGGAGAGCCAGCGCAGCUCCUCCUCCAGCCUGGAGAGCCCCGCGCCCACCGGGCCCCCCCAGCCCCCGGGCAGCCCCCCGGCCGCCAGCCCCGGCCUGAAGAAGGUCCCGUCCCACGGCAGCGUGUUCCCGGUGGAGCUGGACCAUCCCCUCCGCGGGGCCAGCCACGGCUCUCUGCCGGCGCUGGACCUGCACAUCGCCGAGGAGCCGGGCCUGGGCACGCAGCCCUGGGGCACACAGAGCUCUGCAGCGCAGCCGCGCACCCAGCAGCCUUCCUCCUCAUCCUCCUCCUCCGCCCUGCCCCCGUACGAUGGCACAGAGACAGCCCCGGGGCUGCCCCCGGCUCCCCGCGCGGUGUCGCGGCCCCAGCGCAGGGUCCCCCUCAGCCCCAGCCCGUCCCGCCGAGUCCCUGCCCAGCCCUGGGCACCGGGGGAGGCGGCUGAGGGCAGGGCAGGGGCGCUGCCAGCCCUGCCAGCCCCCCAGGCCGCCACCUUCAGGCUGGUGUCGCAGCCUCAGACGGUGCAGGUGAGCUCGCAGCCCGCCUUCCUGGGGGGGCUGGUGCUGCUGCCGGCCCCGGGCCCCCUCCCCAGCGCCGGGCAGGUGGCCCCGCGGGGACCCUGCGUGGUGGCAGCGGCUCCCGGCGAGCCUGCGGACGGCAGCGGGGCAGCGGUGACACCGGAGCACGGUAGGACUCGUUCCUGUCCCCGUCCCUCUCUCCCCCUCGGCGGGCGCAGGAGCCGAUGGCGGGAGGAGCGCGCAGUGACGGCGGCUCUGGGGACCGGCUGCUCGCUGCUCCCCGUGCCGGCUGUGGGAGCCGAGCGGAGCUGGCGGCGCUCCCGGCCCGCCCGUCCCCGCGGUGCUGGCGGCGCUCCCGGCCCGCCCGGCGCUGGAGCAGGUCGGGGCCCAUGA
rnacentral:lncRNA from 1 species